rnacentral:lncRNA from 1 species
CUAUGGGAGAGGAGCUCCCGACUCACGCCCUAGAGUGUGAGGACGAAGCAGGGGGCAGUAGCCUUGGAGAGAGGGUUGGGAGUUUGCGGCGGCAGAGGAGGAGCCACGCUUGCCGGCUGCAGCGACUACUCGGAGUGGAGGUGGAGGGAAGCAGCGGGUUCACGUAAGGCCUGCCUGAGUGCAUCGAGUUUAGGGGCAGCCGUACCCUGCACACUUGGUCGGGGUAAAUUGUGCUAGCUUUCAGAUUAUUCAUCUUCAUUUCACCCUGUGAAAGUUUUGCUAUUAGUUAUGAAAGAACACAACUCAGCUGUUGUAAUCUUGUUUUUUAGUUAUAAAGAACACAACUCAGCUAAAAUUUACUUCCUGCAACUAAUACACAGAAUACAUGUCCUUAUGUGUGUAUUAAAACCUACUACCAUAUUCAGGAGUUUGUUUUGGAUAUGUGAUUAAAAAUGACUAACUGAACUAUGACUUUGUAGCAUGGUUUUUAAAUUCAGUUUGGAAAAUAAUUCACCACUAACCGAAACCUCAUUGGGUCUAGAUGAAUAUAUUUUAGUUUUUCAUAGGCGAUAUUUGACCAAAUUGGCUUUCAGAAAUCAUGUUAUUUAUCAAACUCGAACUUACAAAAACCAUUUCUUAAUAAAAGAGUUAGCGGAAAAAUAAAUCACCACCCAGUCUAGGCAAAACAAAAGAGAAGAGACAAGGAAGACAUCGUAAGGCAGGAGACUGAUAAAUACUAGGAAGGAGGCGUCCAAUAGGAUCAUAUGAUCAAAGCGCAUAUACAGAGUAUGGCACAACUAACCUGUGAUUCUGACGCCAUAUCCAAGUAUGAGCUCGUCGGAGGUAGCCGUGAGGCAGCUCAUCACGAUAUUCAGGAGUGAAUUUCAAUUUCCUUUUGCGUUGUAUGUGCUAAAUUCGAAGUCUUCAAUUAAAGUCUCUCUGAGUGAUGUUGUAUUAGGGAUGAAAAAUAGUUGAUUUUCUAUCCAUUUUCUAAUCUCCGUGUCUAAGAAAUAAUCUAGGUAAUUGUGAUGUUCAAUUCAAAAGCAUAGCAUCAAACUGUGCUAUUUUUAAUCAUAUUAAGUAUAUGCUGGUAGUUCUGUAUGAUAAUUUGCUCAAAUAGCACCAAGCUAAGCAAUGCCAUCUGAUACCCGAUUCUUUCUACCAGGGAAAUGUGCUAGCAAGGGUAUGAUCGAGCAUGAUGGACAUGAUGGCAGGAAAGAGAAGGGGAGAUCUCAUAAAGUGUUUUGCCGAAUGGCGAUGCAAUGCUUGUGAUCUGGAGAGCAAGCCAAGGUGGUUGGAUGAUCUCAAACCAUCAAAUGGUGCAAUUGAGUUGUAUGCCAAAAUUGAUUGUUUCGGGAAGCUGAGUUGUAUCUCCAGGAGGGUGGAUCCCUUAACUAUGAGGUUGUGCUUUGAUAUUUCUACUACCAGCCAUGUGUUUUAGAAGCAAUCUCUGGAGUCCUGCACCUCUAUAAUUAUUAUGUGGACUACCAUGUGAUACUCGACCUCUCAAUCCAUACUCUGAGAUGCAUUUUAUCUGACCAUAAUGCCAUUGGUUUCAGAUAAUCCAAGCAGCAUGAUAGUGGCAUAAACCCAAGCAUGUUGUUCUUCAAGAUGAGGAGCCAGGCCUGACGUCAAACAUAGGAAAAGGUGGUGCAGUGGAAGAAUACGACUUCAUUCUAGUGAGAUGUGGCUCAAGUGGAUGUUGGCGAUACAGCAGUGAGAAGAUCCCCUUGCUUGGUUGCUCCCCAGUCCUCCGAAUCGCUUUGUUUUCUUAGAAUUUAUUUCUCUUUCUUUCAUAAGUAGGGAUUUAAUACUUCGAAGUUUGUACAAAGGGUUUGCUGACCACCUGAUUGCCAUUCCUCUUCUCCUUGCCUGUCUUUUGGAGAAUAUUAGGCUUUGAUAUCAAUUUAAUGUUGUGCUCUAUCAUCCACCUUGUAAGGCUAUCACCUAUAUGAUAAUAUGAACCUAUUAUCUUGAUAUGCCCAAUGGUUGAACUCCUUAAUUGUAAGCUUGUGUUAACUUUAUUUAUAUUUUAACAACU